ACGGAAGGCAGCAGUGGGGAAUAUUGGGCAAUGGGCGAAAGCCUGACCCAGCGACGCCGCGUGAAGGAAGAAGGUCUUCGGAUUGUAAACUUCUUUUAUGAGGGACGAAGGACGUGACGGUACCUCAUGAAUAAGCCACGGCUAACUACGUGCCAGCAGCCGCGGUAAUACGUAGGUGGCAAGCGUUAUCCGGAUUUACUGGGUGUAAAGGGCGCGUAGGCGGGGAUGCAAGUCAGAUGUGAAAUCUAUGGGCUUAACUCAUAAACUGCAUUUGAAACUGUAUCUCUUGAGUGCUGGAGAGGGAGAUGGAAUUCCUUGUGUAGCGGUGAAAUGCGUAGAUAUAAGGAAGAACACCAGUGGCGAAGGCGAUCUACUGGACAGUAACUGACGCUGAGGCGCGAAAGCGUGGGGAGCAAGCAGGAUUAGAUACCCUGGUA
rnacentral:rRNA from 1 species